AAGGCAACAACACUUCUCACUUUGUCAAUGGAGGAUCGAGAAGCGUGUCGUCCAUCUCGGCUAGAGAUAAUAUGUCAUUCUCUUCCUUAUAUUCUGAUAUUGGAGGACAUAUUAUAAUAUAAGGAGGAGAAUGACAUAUUAUCUCUAGCCGAGAUGGACGACACACUUCUCGAUCCUCCUUUGAUAAAGUGAGAAGUGUUGUUGCCUU
rnacentral:pre_miRNA from 2 species